rnacentral:rRNA from 1 species
CUAGCCGUAAACGAUGGAUACUAGGUGUUAGUGGUAUCGACCCCACUAGUGCCGCAGCUAACGCAUUAAGUAUCCCGCCUGGGGAGUACGGCCGCAAGGUUGAAACUCAAAGGAAUUGACGGGGGCCCGCACAAGCGGUGGAGCAUGUGGUUUAAUACGUCACUAACCGUAGAACCUUACCCAGGCUUGACAUCUGGGGAACCCUGAUGAAAGUCGGGGGUGCUUCGUAAGAAGAGCCUCAAGACAGGUGU